UUAUUCUCUUCCCCGGAUUCAUAAUCCACAUCCGAGGACGUGUCAGAAUCCAUAGAAAGUCCAUGAAUGAAUUCAUUGAAAGAAGAAGCACCAUUCUCCAUCCAACGAGGAAGACGAGGUCCACGUAACGUGGGUCUGAGCUCCCAGCCAUGGAUGCCUUCCAACAUGGUAGCCUUCCCAGGAAGUAAAGCCAACACAAGUGCCG
rnacentral:misc_RNA from 1 species